UUGACCUCGGAUCAGGCAGGGAUACCCGCUGAACUUAAGCAUAUCAAUAAGCGGAGGGAGAAU
rnacentral:rRNA from 1 species